UACGUAGGGUCCGAGCGUUGUCCGGAAUUACUGGGCGUAAAGAGCUCGUAGGUGGUUUGUCGCGUUGUUCGUGAAAACUCACAGCUCAACUGUGGGCGUGCGGGCGAUACGGGCAGACUAGAGUACUGCAGGGGAGACUGGAAUUCCUGGUGUAGCGGUGGAAUGCGCAGAUAUCAGGAGGAACACCGGUGGCGAAGGCGGGUCUCUGGGCAGUAACUGACGCUGGAGGAGCGAAAUGCGUGGGGAGCGAACAGG
rnacentral:rRNA from 1 species